AUGAGCCCCCGCUCCGCUCCGCUCCCCUCCCAGCCCUCCCGCCGCCGUCCAGCCCUCGCUGGCGGCCCUCCCCUCCCAGCCCUCUGCCCCAGCCAUGCCCUCCUCCCGGCGCUAUGGCCUCUAGCAACGCCGACGGGGGCGCGCGCCACCGACACCGACUCCUCCGGUCGGCGCUCCUACCGCGACGUGGCCUGCAGCUCCACCCCUGCACUGCCGCUCCUCCAGCUACAGUCCGCCCAAGCCCCGGCCCAGCGCGUGCCCGCCUCCUCCCGCCUCGGCCCCCGCUUGGAGGUCCACCGCGUCGAGCGCGUGGAGGCGGAGGCGCCGGACGAGGGCGGCGCCUGGCUGCGACCGAGGGGCAGGGGUCGGCGCCGCCGCACCCAACGCACUGAGGCUCCCGCGCCUCGCUCUCGCUGCAGUCCCACGCCAGAGGAAGAGGCCGGCCUCUGCUUCCGCUGCCUCUACCCGGGCCACCACGUCCGUGACUGCAUGAACAAGGAUACCGAAUCAACAUUUACCGCAAAGUAUGAUGUCGUGUUAGAUACAAUAGGAAUAGCUGAAACUAAAAGAAUUGAUAUCAUUCUUCUGUGA
rnacentral:rRNA from 1 species